UCCCGGAUGUAGUGCGCUGGUGCAGCGAGCCCCGCCUGGCAUCAGCCUCUGAGCGGGCUGAUCCACUUCCUUCGCUGCCAGGAGAGGAUAAACGAGCUCAGAUUCACUUGAAAAGCACAAAUGUUUCCACCAAGAUGCAGUUGUUUACUUUCCAUCACAGCUUUGGAAGGAUCUGAAUGAAUGAGAUGUCCUGUAUAAUUAACAGAGUGAUUCAACUUUGCUACAAGGAGCCCUGCCAUCUUCUCAAUUUUCUCGGAUCAUUCUCCUUCAGUCAUCAGUGUUGAAACAAAAAUUGGACACUUUACGGAGCCCAGAUUUCAUACUACAGCUGUCUAAAUGCACUGUGCAAC